AUGGCGGAGCGGGGGCGGGCAUCCCAGUUGUGCUCUCGGAGGCCGCCACUGGGGCUGGACCCGCGCCGGGAGCGCACCCGGGGCGGGGUCAACCCGGGCGGCGCGGGUGGAGACUCCGAUCGCUGUGGGUGGGGGUCGGUCCCAGUUGUGCUCCGGGGAGGCCGCCACUGGGGCUGGACCCGCGCCGGGAGCGCACCCGGGGCGGGGUCAACCCGGGCGGCGCGGGUGGAGACUCCGAUCGCUGUGGGUGGGGGUCGGUCCCAGUUGUGCUCCGGGGAGGCCGCCACUGGGGCUGGACCCGCGCCGGGAGCGCACCCGGGGCGGGGUCAACCCGGGCGGCGCGGGUGGAGACUCCGAUCGCUGUGGGUGGGGGUCGGUCCCAGUUGUGCUCCGGGGAUCCCCACUGCGGCUGGGAAGGCACCGGGAGCAUGGCAGGGGCGGGGCGGCGGUCGGCUCCUGGCGGGGGUAGGGGAGGGGUUCCCCGUUGUCCUCUCGGGGGUCGCCAUGGCGGCUGGGAACGCCCAUUGCGUGCGCUCCUGGGUCCCCAAGGGUCGGCAUCCAGUGGGCGCGGCGGAGGGGUGCGGACCACAGGUCAGGGAACUGGGACUGCGUGGAGCAGGGAACCACGUAGUCCGCCCUCUGUUGGCACAACCUGGCGGUCGCAGAAAGGCCUCGCCUUUGGGCUCAAGGCCUUUACCGCUCCACCCCUUUGCUGAAAGGUCAGAGCCGCGCGGUUUUCCCAAGCAGCCUAGUGUCCGCUGCAAGUCCAAGGGCCAGAACCCUGAACUCUGGCCGGCUGGCCCAGCCCUGCUUCUGGCACUUUUUUUUUUUUUUUUUUUUUUUUUUUUUUUUUUUUUUUUUUUUUUUUUUUUUUUUUUUUUUUUUUUUUUUUUUUUUUUUUUUUUUUUUUUUUUUUUUUUUUUUUUUUUUUUUUUUUUUUUUUUUUUUUUUUUUUUUUUUUUUUUUUUUUUUUUUUUUUUUUUUUUUUUUUUUUUUUUUUUUUUUUUUUUUUUUUUUUUUUUUUUUUUUUUUUUUUUUUUUUUUUUUUUUUUUUUUUUUUUUUUUUUUUUUUUUUUUUUUUUUUUUUUUUUUUUUUUUUUUUUUUUUUUUUUUUUUUUUUUUUUUUUUUUUUUUUUUUUUUUUUUUUUUUUUUUUUUUUUUUUUUUUUUUUUUUUUUUUUUUUUUUUUUUUUUUUUUUUUUUUUUUUUUUUUUUUUUUUUUUUUUUUUUUUUUUUUUUUUUUUUUUUUUUUUUUUUUUUUUUUUUUUUUUUUUUUUUUUUUUUUUUUUUUUUUUUUUUUUUUUUUUUUUUUUUUUUUUUUUUUUUUUUUUUUUUUUUUUUUUUUUUUUUUUUUUUUUUUUUUUUUUUUUUUUUUUUUUUUUUUUUUUUUUUUUUUUUUUUUUUUUUUUUUUUUUUUUUUUUUUUUUUUUUUUUUUUUUUUUUUUUUUUUUUUUUUUUUUUUUUUUUUUUUUUUUUUUUUUUUUUUUUUUUUUUUUUUUUUUUUUUUUUUUUUUUUUUUUUUUUUUUUUUUUUUUUUUUUUUUUUUUUUUUUUUUUUUUUUUUUUUUUUUUUUUUUUUUUUUUUUUUUUUUUUUUUUUUUUUUUUUUUUUUUUUUUUUUUUUUUUUUUUUUUUUUUUUUUUUUUUUUUUUUUUUUUUUUUUUUUUUUUUUUUUUUUUUUUUUUUUUUUUUUUUUUUUUUUUUUUUUUUUUUUUUUUUUUUUUUUUUUUUUUUUUUUUUUUUUUUUUUUUUUUUUUUUUUUUUUUUUUUUUUUUUUUUUUUUUUUUUUUUUUUUUUUUUUUUUUUUUUUUUUUUUUUUUUUUUUUUUUUUUUUUUUUUUUUUUUUUUUUUUUUUUUUUUUUUUUUUUUUUUUUUUUUUUUUUUUUUUUUUUUUUUUUUUUUUUUUUUUUUUUUUUUUUUUUUUUUUUUUUUUUUUUUUUUUUUUUUUUUUUUUUUUUUUUUUUUUUUUUUUUUUUUUUUUUUUUUUUUUUUUUUUUUUUUUUUUUUUUUUUUUUUUUUUUUUUUUUUUUUUUUUUUUUUUUUUUUUUUUUUUUUUUUUUUUUUUUUUUUUUUUUUUUUUUUUUUUUUUUUUUUUUUUUUUUUUUUUUUUUUUUUUUUUUUUUUUUUUUUUUUUUUUUUUUUUUUUUUUUUUUUUUUUUUUUUUUUUUUUUUUUUUUUUUUUUUUUUUUUAAUUUGUUUUUUGUUUUUCUUUUUUUUAGAAAAGAUUCCGAAAAAUGA
ensembl:lncRNA